CCCGCUGAACUUAAGCAUAUCAAUAAGCGGAGGAAAAGAAACCAACAGGGAUUGCCCUAGUAACGGCGAGUGAAGCGGCAACAGCUCAAAUUUGAAAUCUGGCCUCUUUGGGGGUCCGAGUUGUAAUUUGCAGAGGGUGCUUUGGCGUUGGCUGUGGUCUAAGUUCCUUGGAACAGGACGUCGCAGAGGGUGAGAAUCCCGUAUGUGGCCGCCAGUCUUCGCCGUGUAAAGCCCCUUCGACGAGUCGAGUUGUUUGGGAAUGCAGCUCUAAAUGGGAGGUAAAUUUCUUCUAAAGCUAAAUAUUGGCCAGAGACCGAUAGCGCACAAGUAGAGUGAUCGAAAGAUGAAAAGCACUUCGGAAAGAGAGUCAAAAAGCACGUGAAAUUGUUGAAAGGGAAGCGCUUGCAGCCAGACUUGCUUGUAGUUGCUUAGCUAGGCUUUUGCCUGGUGUACUCUUCUGCAUGCAGGCCAGCAUCAGUCCGGGCGGUUGGAUAAAGGCCUAUUAAACGUACCUCUCUUCGGGGAGGACUUAUAGGGUAGGUGCCAUGCAACCAGCCUGGAUUGAGGUCCGCGCAUCCGCUAGGAUGCUGGCGUAAUGGCUGUAAGCGGCCCGUCUUGAAACACGG
rnacentral:rRNA from 1 species